rnacentral:rRNA from 1 species
GGAGGUUGGCUUAGAAGCAGCCAUCCUUUAAAGAAAGCGUAAUAGCUCACUGGUCAAGCGGUCCGGUGCCGACAAUACAACGGGGCUAAAACUGUAUACCGAAGCAGCGGAUGCACACAUUUUGUGUGCGUGGUAGGAGAGCAUUCUCUAAUCAUUGAAGCGUAACUGGGAAGAUACGUGGAGGUUAGAGAAGAGACCCUGCCGGCAUAAGUAGCGAUAAUCAGUGUGAGAACCACUGACGCCGAAAGUCUAAGGUUUCCUGAGGAAGGUUAAUCCGCUCAGGGUUAGGCGGUCCCUAAGCUGAGGCCGAAAGGCGUAAGCGAUGGACAUCCGGUUAAUAUUCCGGACCUCCCGAUAUCUCGUUAUUACGAUGGGGUGACGCAGAAGGAUAAGCAGGACCACAUAUGGCUAUGUGGUUUGAUACACGCAAGCUGGUUUCUCCAGGCAAAUCCGGAGAGGCAUUAACAGUGAGGUGUAAAACAGUAGGCCUUACGGCCGAAAGCUGCUGAGUUCACGCUGCCAAGAAAAACCUCUAAGGAGAGAGAUUGGGAACCGUACCACAAACCGACACAGGUAGACGAGGAGAAUAUCCAAAGGCGCUCGAGUGAAGGCUUGUUAAGGAACUCGGCAAAUUAGACCCGUAACUUCGGGAGAAGGGUCGCCCACCGCAAGGUGGGCCGCAGUGAAACGCGUACGGCGACUGUUUAACAAAAACACAGGUCUCUGCAAAGUCUAAAACGACGUAUAGGGGCUGACGCCUGCCCGGUGCCGGAAGGUUAAAGGGAGAGGUUAGCCGCAAGGCGAAGCUUUGAACUGAAGCCCCGGUGAACGGCGGCCGUAACAAUAACGGUCCUAAGGUAGCGAAAUUCCUUGUCGGGUAAGUUCCGACCUGCACGAAUGGCGUAACGAUCUGACGACUGUCGGCGCGCUCCGCCCGGCGAACUUGUGGUUCCGGUGAAGACGCCGGAUGCCCGCCACUAGACGGAAAGACCCCGUGCACCUUUACUAUACCUUUGCAAUGAACUAUGGUGCGAUCUGCGCAGCAUAGGUGGGAGGCUUUGAACUCAGGCUCUUGGGCUUGAGGGAGCCAACGGUGAGAUACCACCCUGAUCGUACUGUGGUUCUAACCUACUCCCGUAAUCCGGGAGAGGGACAUUGCAAGGCGGGUAGUUUGACUGGGGCGGUCGCCUCCUAAACUGUAACGGAGGCGCUCGAAGCUUGGUUCACGCUGUUUGGAAAUCAGCGGUCGAGUGCAAAGGCAUAAACCAGGUUGACUGCGAGACCUACAAGUCAAGCAGGUGGGAAACCAGGACUUAGUGAUCCGGUGGUUCUGUAUGGAAGGGCCAUCGCUCAACGGAUAAAAGGUACGCCGGGGAUAACAGGCUGAUCGGAGUCAAGAGUUCACAUCGACGCUCCGGUUUGGCACCUCGAUGUCGGUUCAUCGCAUCCUGGGGGUGUAGAAGCUCCCAAGGGUUGGGCUGUUCGCCCAUUAAAGCGGUACGUGAACUGGGUUCAGAACGUCGCGAGACAGUUCGGUCCCUAUCUGUGGUGGGCGCAGGAAAUUUGAGGGGGCUUGUCCUUAGUACGAGAGGACCGGGAUGAACAGACCUCUUGUGAUUCAGUUGUCACACCCGUGGCACAGCUGAGUAGCGAAGUCUGGUUAGGAUAAGUGCUGAAUGCAUAUAAGUACGAAACCUUCCCCAAGAUGAGAUUUCCCUGAAGAGCCGUGAAAGACGAUCACGUUGAUAGGACGGAUGUGUAAGCGUAGUAAUGCGUUGAGCUUACCGUUACUAAUAGCUCGUUCGGCUUGUCCU